UACGGGAGGCAGCAGUGGGGAAUAUUGCACAAUGGGCGCAAGCCUGAUGCAGCCAUGCCGCGUGUAUGAAGAAGGCCUUCGGGUUGUAAAGUACUUUCAGUCGUGAGGAAGGUGUUAAGGUUAAUAACCUUAGCAAUUGACGUUAGCGACAGAAGAAGCACCGGCUAACUCCGUGCCAGCAGCCGCGGUAAUACGGAGGGUGCGAGCGUUAAUCGGAAUUACUGGGCGUAAAGGGCACGCAGGCGGUUAAUUAAGUUGGAUGUGAAAUCCCCGGGCUUAACCUGGGAAUGGCAUUCAAGCUGGUUAGCUAGAGUCUUGUAGAGGGGGUAGAAUUCCAUGUGUAGCGGUGAAAUGCGUAGAGAUGUGGAGGAAUACCGGUGGCGAAGGCGGCCCCUGGGACAAAGGCUGACGCUCAUGUGCGAAAGCGUGGGGAGCAAAC
rnacentral:rRNA from 1 species